rnacentral:rRNA from 1 species
UAUUUAUUAGAUAAAAAACCAAUGCCCUUCGGGGCUCCUUGGUGAAUCAUAAUAACUUAACGAAUCGCAUGGCCUUGCGCCGGCGAUGGUUCAUUCAAAUUUCUGCCCUAUCAACUUUCGAUGGUAGGAUAGUGGCCUACCAUGGUAUCAACGGGUAACGGGGAAUUAGGGUUCGACUCCGGAGAGGGAGCCUGAGAAACGGCUACCACAUCCAAGGAAGGCAGCAGGCGCGCAAAUUACCCAAUCCCGACACGGGGAGGUAGUGACAAUAAAUACUGAUACAGGGCUCUUUUGGGUCUUGUAAUUGGAAUGAGUACAAUUUGAAUCCCUUAACGAGGAACAAUUGGAGGGCAAGUCUGGUGCCAGCAGCCGCGGUAAUUCCAGCUCCAAUAGCGUAUAUUAAAGUUGUUGCAGUUAAAAAGCUCGUAGUUGAACCUUGGGCCUGGCUGGCCGGUCCGCCUCACCGCGUGUACUGGUCCGGCCGGGCCUUUCCUUCUGGGGAACCUCAUGCCCUUCACUGGGCGUGUUGGGGAACCAGGACUCUUACUUUGAAAAAAUUAGAGUGUUCAAAGCAGG